GGAGGUGACAGGUGACAGCUAUGUGGGAGAAGAGGCAAGCACGUACUUCCUUUACAGACCACUGGAAGCGCUAGGGGGUCAAAGAAAGCUGGAAAUGACCAAUGAGAGCUGUCCAAUGGCGGUUGUUGAUCUGUCGUCUUGCUCUGUAGUCUGUACUGAAGUCAACAGUCGUCUUUGUUUUAUGUUUACAUAUUACUGAUCUUCAUGAUAAACAGUUUCUUAUUUUAAAUUUCAUAAUGUUCACCGUGAAAGAGAGGAGAUUUCCUGCUGAAAAAAUGUCCACAAUUAAUCCUAAGAAUAUUCCAACACAACAAACUGACAUUGAAAUACUCUUGUAAAUUCCCUGGUUAUUCAUCUGGAUAUUACGUGGUUUCAACGGAGGAACUUAUCAACAAGCAUUUCUACAGGUUUCCAAAACAACCGCAAUAGUUGCUUCUGAAGUGGAAAACUGUUUGUAAACAGUCACCUGAUGUGAACUGUGCUACUUAUUUUAUUUGUGAAGAUCAUUUUUUCGAAGAAGAUUUUAUGAAUAAAAUUAGGCAGUUUAAACAG